rnacentral:rRNA from 1 species
ACGGAAGGCAGCAGUGAGGAAUAUUGGUCAAUGGGCGGAAGCCUGAACCAGCCAAGUCGCGUGAAGGAUGAAGGUAUUAUGUAUUGUAAACUUCUUUAGACGUAGAGAAAUAAGGGGAUCGUGAUCCCUGAUGCUAGUAUACGUAGAAUAAGGAUCGGCUAACUCCGUGCCAGCAGCCGCGGUAAUACGGAGGAUCCGAGCGUUAUCCGGAUUUAUUGGGUUUAAAGGGUGCGCAGGCGGCUUUUUAAGUCAGUGGUUAAACCGUGGAGCUUAACUCCAUCCCGCCAUUGAUACUGGAGAGCUUGAUUGCGGUUGAGGUUGGCGGAAUUCGCCGUGUAGCGGUGAAAUGCAUAGAUAUGGCGAAGAACUCCGAUUGCGUAGGCAGCUGACCAAGCCGUAAAUGACGCUCAUGCACGAAAGUGCGGGGAUCGAACAGGAUUAGAUACCCUGGUA